rfam:Picea glauca, whole genome shotgun sequence.
ACAUGCCUACAUCAUAGCAUUAAUGCAUCAGAUCCCAUUAGAACUCCAUAGCUAAGCAUGCUUAGGCUAGAGUAGUACUAGGAUGGGUGAUCGUUAGGGAAGUCUUAGCGUUUUACAAGCC